CCUACGGUGAGCAGCAGUGAGGAAUAUUGGUCAAUGGACGCAAGUCUGAACCAGCCAAGUAGCGUGCAGGAUUACUGCCCUCCGGGUUGUAAACUGCUUUUAGUUGGGAAUAACAUGUGGCUCGUGAACCCCGUAUUGUAUGUACCAUCAGACAAAGGACCGGCUAAUUCCGUGCCAGCAGCCGCGGUAAUACGGAAGUUCCGGGCGUUAUCCGGAUUUAUUGGGUUUAAAGGGAGCGUAGGCCGGCUUUUAAGUCAGCGGUGAAAGUCCGCGGCUCAACCGUGGAAUUGCAGUUGAAACUGGAGGCCUUGAGUGCACACAGGGAUGCAGGAAUUCAUGGUGUAGCGGUGAAAUGCUUAGAUAUCAUGAAGAACUCCGAUCGUGAAGGCAAGUGUCCGGGGUGCAACUGACGCUGAGGCUCGAAAGUGCGGGUAUCAAACAGGAUUAGAUACCCGGGUAGUC
rnacentral:rRNA from 1 species